CUCAACUCUCUUAACCAUUUAAUAUUAGAGGUUUUAACCGACAAAACAAGCUUUAUCCUCUCAGUCCAACACCGGUUCCAACUUCCAACGUCUUCAAUUCUUCCUUGAAAAAGGAUCUGUGAGGGUUGGGAUGCUUGAUCUGCAUGUCCAUCGUGCUGGGUGCUGUUGUGCUUGCUGCUGCUGAGAUGCUGGUGGUUGUUGUGGCUACUACGUACUCUUGCUUCGGUUCUACUUUUGGAUUAUUUCAAUGUGGACGUGUCCAGAUACUGGUGCUGCUGUUGGUCAUUUUGGCCUGAUUCAUCGUAGUGAGUUUCAUGGGUUUGAUCAUUCGAUAAAUCGUCUGAGUUUGUUUGAGGUUAUAGGUCACAAGAUCCUUAAUUUUCAGUUCGUUAACGUUGUGCGUUUUAAUUUGAAUAUCCUUUUCUG
rnacentral:lncRNA from 1 species